UACGGAGGAUCCGAGCGUUAUCCGGAAUCAUUGGGUUUAAAGGGUCCGUAGGCGGUUAAAUAAGUCAGUGGUGAAAUUUCUUUGCUCAACAAAGACACUGCCAUUGAUACUGUUUAACUUGAAUAAUUAAGAAGUAACUAGAAUAUGUAGUGUAGCGGUGAAAUGCAUAGAUAUUACAUGGAAUACCGAUUGCGAAAGCAGGUUACUAUUAAUUUAUUGACGCUGAUGGACGAAAGCGUGGGUAGCGAACAGG
rnacentral:rRNA from 1 species